GAACACUGGCAGAGACCUCAGACCUCCCAAAAGUCUAAACUGGUUGUGGACUAAGUCACCAAAAGUCGAUACCAUUACACAAUGCAUUUGGGGAGCCAGGAAGCACACAGCUGAACUUUCUUUAUGGUGCUAGUUGGAACACAAAAUCAAACAAGUAAACUAAACCACUAAAAGAGCUAGGAAGCCUGGCUAGCACACCACCUCUGGUCCCAAUAGAUGGAAUGGAAGUGGAAUUC